rnacentral:rRNA from 1 species
AGUGAACGCUGGCGGUAGGCCUAACACAUGCAAGUCGAACGGCAGCACAGUAAGAGCUUGCUCUUACGGGUGGCGAGUGGCGGACGGGUGAGGAAUACAUCGGAAUCUACUUUUUCGUGGGGGAUAACGUAGGGAAACUUACGCUAAUACCGCAUACGACCUACGGGUGAAAGCAGGGGAUCUUCGGACCUUGCGCGAUUGAAUGAGCCGAUGUCGGAUUAGCUAGUUGGCGGGGUAAAGGCCCACCAAAGCGACGAUCCGUAGCUGUGCUGAGAGGAUGAUCAGCCACACUGGAACUGAGACACGGUCCAGACUCCUACGGGAGGCAGCAGUGGGGAAUAUUGGACAAGGGGCGCAAGCCUGAUCCAGCCAUACCGCGUGGGUGAAGAAGGCCUUCGGGUGGUAAAGCCCUUUUGUUGGGAAAGAAGAGCAGCAGGUUAAUACCCCGCUGUUCUGACGGGACCCAAAGAAUAAGCACCGGCUAACUUCGG